AAAUCUACCUUGGUUUUAGUGCGCAUACGGGUGAAGUAACAGAUAAUCACGACAUUAUUCAGGUCACUACCAAGUCUAUCCCUCCUGCAGUCAAAGAAGCUGCUCCUAGACAAGAAAAGGUCAAAAAGUCAUCUUCAUCAGGAGGUGUGUUGUCUGUUUUAUUCAAAGUGAUGUUGGCAGGAGGACUUGUAGGCAUUCUAUUCGUUGGUUACCGUUAUNUAGUAAUGAUUAAUAGAAACGGUUGGGGGCAUUUGUAUUUGGCCGCUAGAGGUGAAAUUCUUGGAUUGGCCGAAGACAAACUACUGCGAAAGCAUUUGACCCAGGACGUUUUCAUUGAUCAAGGUCUAAAGUUAAGGGAUCGAAGACGAUUAGAUACCGUCGUAGUCUUAACCACAAACUAUGCCGACUAGAGAUUGGGCG
rnacentral:ncRNA from 1 species